CGACAGAUGAAUAGCUUGCUUAUUUCGUUAGUGGCGCACGGGUGAGUAAUGUAUAGCUAACCUGCCCUUUAGUGGGGGACAACAGAUGGAAACGUCUGCUAAUACCCCAUACUCCUGCUUAUCAUACGGUAAGUUGGGAAAGAUUUAUUGCUAAAGGAUGGGGCUUUAUGGUAUCAGCUAGUUGGUGGGGUAACGGCCUACCAAGGCAAUGACGCCUACCUGGUCUGAGAGGAUGAUCAGGCACACUGAAACUGAGACACGGUCCAGACUCCUACGGGAGGCAGCAGUGGGGAAUAUUGCACAAUGGGGGAAACCCUGAUGCAGCAAACGCCGCGUGGAGGAUGACGCAUUUCGGUGUGUAAACUCCUUUUAUAAGGGAAGAUAAUGACGGUACCUUAUGAAUAAGCACCGGCUAACUCCGUGCCAGCAGCCGCGGUAAUACGGAGGGUGCAAGCGUUACUCGGAAUCACUGGGCGUAAAGGAUGCGUAGGCUGUAAUAUAAGUCAGAAGUGAAAUCCACCGGCUUAACCGUUGAACUGCUUUUUGAAACUGUUUUACUAAAAUAUGGGAGAGGUAGAUGGAAUUGGGUGGUGUAGGGGUAAAAUCCGUAGAUAUCACCAGGAAAUACCCGAUUGCCGAAGGCGAUCUACUGGAAACAUAUUGACGCUGAGGCAUGAAAGCGUGGGGGGGCCAAACAGGAU
rnacentral:rRNA from 1 species